rnacentral:lncRNA from 1 species
GUUUUGUACGCAGUGUUCUGCAAUUGAUGGGUACAGUUGGAACGUUUACCAUUCAAUAGCUUAACAUGAAUGUGCCUGUCCCAAGUCAGGAGCCUGUAAUUCAGUGGUUGUCGUUUGUUGAGGUGUUACAUAUUUAUUGUUCGUUCAUUUUUUGUGCAUAAAUUAGGCCGUUGGUUUAAAUUUAUUAUUUCGGGGUCUGUUAUAGCUGACUAUGCGGUAUGGGCUUUGCUCAUUGCUCAUUGUCGAAGGCCGUCCGGUGACCUAUAGUUGAAAAUUUUUGUGUCAUUUGGUCUCUUGUGGAGAGUUGUCUCAUUGGCAAUUAUACCACCUCUUUUAUAUGUUCAUGUAUUCCUGGACGUAAUUUUGAACACUUUGAGCAUACCUACUGUUAAUCUGAACAGAAACUUAACCCAAAUCACCAAAUGAUUUCAGAAUUCUUAUGAAUAUUAAACUACAAAAUUGAUAAGACCAUUACCG